UCGAGAAGGAGAGGAUGCGGAUUUCAGUACCUGGUGGACUGGGAGGGUUACGGUCUGGAGGAGAGAAGUUGGGUUCCUGCUAGAGACAUUCUGGAUCACUCUCUGAUCGAUGAUUACAAUCGUCAGAUCGUUGUUUCUCCCCGGUGUGCUCCCGUACCUGUUCCUGUGUCCUUAGUUCCUGCCUGAGUUUUCCUGUUAUCGUCGUUCGUUCCUGGAUCGUCACUCAGCACUGGAUUACCGAGCACCGUCACGAGGAUUACACACACACCGGGAUUCAAGGGAUCAUCACUGGACCGAGCACCACCAUCUGUUGUCCACCGAAG